rnacentral:rRNA from 1 species
AUUGAACGCUGGCGGCAUGCCUUACACAUGCAAGUCGAACGGUAACAGGUCUUCGGAUGCUGACGAGUGGCGAACGGGUGAGUAAUACAUCGGAACGUGCCUAGUAGUGGGGGAUAACUACUCGAAAGAGUGGCUAAUACCGCAUGAGAUCUACGGAUGAAAGCAGGGGAUCGCAAGACCUUGUGCUACUAGAGCGGCCGAUGGCAGAUUAGGUAGUUGGUGGGAUAAAAGCUUACCAAGCCGACGAUCUGUAGCUGGUCUGAGAGGACGAUCAGCCACACUGGGACUGAGACACGGCCCAGACUCCUACGGGAGGCAGUAGUGGAGAAUUUUGGACAAUGGGCGCAAGCCUGAUCCAGCAAUGCCGCGUGCAGGAAGAAGGCCUUCGGGUUGUAAACUGCUUUUGUACGGAACGAAACGGUCCUGGUUAAUACCUGGGGCUAAUGACGGUACCGUAAGAAUAAGCACCGGCUAACUACGUGCCAGCCGCCGCCGUAAGAC